rnacentral:rRNA from 1 species
AGUUGUAUCCUGGCUCAGGAUGAACGCUAGCGGUAUGCCUAACACAUGCAAGUCGUACGAGGGUUUCAUACCCAAGUGGCGGACGGGUGAGUAACACGUGAGAAUUUGCCCUAAGGAGGGGGAUAACAACUGGAAACGGUUGCUAAAACCCCAUAUGCUUCCGAGUGAAAUAGAUUUAUCUGCCUUAGGAGAAGCUCGCGGCUGAUUAGCUAGUUGGUAAGGUAAUGGCUUACCAAGGCGACGAUCAGUAUCUGGUUUGAGAGGACGAUCAGACACACUGGAACUGAGACACGGUCCAGACUCCUACGGGAGGCAGCAGUGGGGAAUUUUCCGCAAUGGGCGAAAGCCUGACGGAGCAAUACCGCGUGAAGGAAGACGGCCUAUGGGUUGUAAACUUCUUUUUUCAGGGAGGAACUCAAUGACGUGUACCUGAAGAAUAAGCAUCGGCUAACUCCGUGCCAGCAGCCGCGGUAAGACGGAGGAUGCAAGUGUUAUCCGGAAUCACUGGGCGUAAAGCGUCUGUAGGUGGUUUAAUAAGUCGACUGUUAAAUCUUGAGGCUUAACCUCAAAAUCGCA